rnacentral:rRNA from 1 species
GACGAACGCUGGCGGCGUGCUUAACACAUGCAAGUCGAACGGAAAGGCCCUGCUUUUGUGGGGUGCUCGAGUGGCGAACGGGUGAGUAACACGUGAGUAACCUGCCCUUGACUUUGGGAUAACUUCAGGAAACUGGGGCUAAUACCGGAUAGGAGCUCCUGCUGCAUGGUGGGGGUUGGAAAGUUUCGGCGGUUGGGGAUGGACGCGCGGCUUAUCAGCUUGUUGGUGGGGUAGUGGCUUACCAAGGCUUUGACGGGUAGCCGGCCUGAGAGGGUGACCGGCCACAUUGGGACUGAGAUACGGCCCAGACUCCUACGGGAGGCAGCAGUGGGGAAUAUUGCACAAUGGGCGGAAGCCUGAUGCAGCAACGCCGCGUGCGGGAUGACGGCCUGCGGGUUGUAAACCGCUUUCGCCUGUGACGAAGCGUGAGUGACGGUAAUGGGUAAAGAAGCACCGGCUAACUACGUG